AGAGAAGGAGAAACAGAGAGAGAAAAAAACAGAGAGAGAGAAAGAGAAACAGACAGAGAGAGAUCCUUUUGGGCUGGAAAAAUCAGGUAGGGCUUCAUAGAGGCCAGGAAUCUUUUAAUUGAAUGAUACUAACUUUCCCAAGAAACCAGCUGUGUUAGUUCUACCACAUUCUUGACUUCUGCUUCAGUGUGUGAUUUACAUAGCACUAGUGUGGCUGAUUGUUCACUGGUUAGAACACAAUCCUAAGUCUCAAGUUGAUUCUUAUGAUGAUUCAUCAUGUCCCUCAUACCUGCCUCUGAUCAACUCUUUUACAUGGUCAAUAUGGUAUGUUGGGGAGGAGUCAGGGGAGAAGAGGGUGUAGAGAGGUGAUUAAAACACAGAUCUGAUCCUGACACCUUCUUACUCAUGUUGUAAAGUCCAGGCCAGGAGGGAUGCCAGGACUAGCAUACUUUCCCAGCUUUCUGCCAGCCACUCCCUGCCAUGAACCCCAAACUUAAGCUACAUCAGACCUAUUGGGAUGCUGGUGGCCCUAAACUCUCAGUUUCUGUCUUGUGCUGAAUUUCUUUUACUUAAAAACUCUUUUUGCUAUUUUCCUGGUAAUCUUAUUCCUCAAAGGGUAGUUCAAAUGUCAUAGCCUAUAUGAAGAUUCUAGGACAAACACCUCCAAGGUGGAAGCUGUAUAGCUCCUUCAUCAGAAUUCUUAUAAUACUGUGUACAUACCUCAUUUACAAUUUUUGCCACAUAGUAUUCAAGUAAAUUGUAUGUCUCAAUAUUCCUGAAGAUUUUGGACAUCUGGAGAUUAGUGAAUAUGUUUUCAAUUCAUCUAGAUUUCCAGAUAUUUAUGGAGCAUCUACUGUGUGAUAAAGACACAAUUUCUGCCUUCAAGAGCUCACAGUCUACUGGGGAAGGAGAUGUAAGGGUUGGGUCACUGAAAAUUGCUUCUAGCACAGUGAGAAUUAUGUCCAAUUGAAGUCACAUAAACUAAUUCCAGUCAAGUUAGAAGCUCUGAUGCUGUCUGGAACUGAAACUCAGACAGAGCUCUGAAGGAAUCAGGCUUAUGGAGAGGCUAUCAUCCCACAAGAAUGCAGACCUCUGCCUGCUUCACUCCCUGCUGUGCUUCCACAUCUGGAGCAUGCAGUAGGACCUCAGAGAAUGUGUGCUGGAAGAGGGAACACUGAUCGGAAUUUGUCCUCUGAAUGUGCCCACUCACGCUGCAGUGUCAGCUCCUUGAGGACAGCAAUGUCAUCAGGCCUGUUGAUCCCUGGAUCAGCACCUAGAAGGGUUUGGCACAUGGUAGGUGCUCACUGACUGGCUGAUUACAACAGGACACAGCAGCAGGCCUUGAAGCUGGGAGUGAACCCCAAAUCCUACCUUCAAGCAGGAAGCCCUGCUCCUUUGUAUUAGGCGUGAAAUGGGGCCUGUGAAGGAGGCGGCAGGAGAGGGGGGGAAAUGUUGCCAUGGGUUCUUGUGUACACAGAAGACAGUGGCAUGGGAAGACGUGAGCAGGCAUAUCCAGGAAAUGAACAGAGGACUAAGGCUCAACCCUGAACCUGCUCUCUUAGGUGUCACACCCUCUCCCACUGGAAGCAGGUGAGCGGCUGCCAAGUUCCCUUGGAGAUAGAGGCCACAUGACCUCAACCUGGCCAAUCAGCAGAGCCCAUUCUCUUCAGCCAUAGUGAUUGGCUGAGGUCUGGGCACGUAACCAAUCCCGUGCAGAAGGUCAGAUCUCCAGGUUGGAACCCUGGGUGAAGAGAAGCUUAAUUUCUGUUAGGUUGCUGGAGUGGUUGGUGCCAUCUUGUCACCGUGAAGGGAAAGCCCACCCAAGAAUGACACCAACAUAGUGGGAAGUAAGCAGAGCCAAGAGGUUGGCAGAGGUGGUUCCUGGUGCCGUUAUCCAGCACCCAGCUACCGACCAGGUGAAGUUGGCCUUGCACAUAGUCGCUGGCACUGGAGUGACCCAUAGGUCACACACAAAAGUCUGCAGAGCAACUCCAGCUGUGCUCUUUCGUUUUCACAAUUAGCAACGUUUUUAUAGGUAGCAUUCUUGGUUAGCAUUCCUAGUUAGGAUUUGUAGCUAGAAAUUUACCAUGCAGCAGGGCCUUACGACCAUCUCUGCUGAUGAGGAGACCCUUACUGAUCAUUAUAGGCUCCUCGAGAUCGUCAGCCAGGACAGCUUCACCAAGGUGAAUGAAGUUCACCAAGUGCCUUCUCACUGGGACCAAGGUGGCUGUGGUCAUCCCAAAAGGGCAGCAGAACUCCUCCUCCCUCUAGAGUCUAUUCCAUGGGGUGACCCCAAGGUCAUCAGGCUCUUUCGACACCACAGACACUUUGUUCUUAGCCACGGAGUAUGCCAGCAGAGCAGAGCUGGUCCGCUACAUCCUAGAGUUGGGUUACAUGAAGGCAGAAGAGGCCUGAAGCAAAUUCCAGCAGAUAGUAUCAGCCCUCUAGUACCACCAACAGAAGGGGGAUAUCCAUAGGGACCUAAAGCCCAAGAAUUUCCUUGUGGUCCAUCACAACAUAAAAAUAACAGCCUUUGGAUUUGAUACCAGGUUCACUGUAGGCCAGAAGCUGGGCACCUUCGGUGGGAGUCCCUCUUAUGUGGUCCUGAACUCUUCCAUGGCCAAGCAUAUGAUGGGCCCCAGUGGACAUGUGAAGCUGGAAAGUCAUUCUUUAUACCACGGUAACCAGGGCCUGCCAUUUAUUGGGCAGACUUUGUGGAGCUGAGAAAGCUGAUACUGUGUGAACAAUUUUACAAGAUCCCACUCUUCGCUCUUCAUUUCCAGAGAGCUUCAUCAACCUAUUUUUGACUACAGGGAGAGGCCUAUACUAGACCACAUCAUGGAACACCUAUGGAUCAACACUGGUCAGGAGGAGACACGAAAGUCAUUCCAGGAGCUGCUUUCUGAUCACCAGGACUCCUGAAAGACAGAGCUCAUGGUGUCCAUGGGAUAUGAGACAGACCACAUCCAGUCCUUGUUAGAACAACAAUUUGAUGAUACCAUGGCCUGGUACUGAGUCCUGGGCUACAGGAAACUUGAUGCAGGGCUCCAUCAUCAGAGUGAAGUCUUUGCCUUCAGUGGAUCCCACCCAACAGUCACUAGCCUUUCCCAUCACCUGAAAGAAACUCUUAUGCUUUCACCUACAAAACUGGUUAAGAACAUUGGGAAAAGGUG